rnacentral:rRNA from 1 species
UACGAAGGGUGCAAGCGUUAAUCGGAAUUACUGGGCGUAAAGCGCGUGUAGGCGGCUUGGCAAGUCGGAUGUGAAAGCCCGAGGCUCAACCUCGGAACUGCAUUCGAAACUGCCAGGCUAGAGUCCUGGAGAGGAUGGUGGAAUUCCCAGUGUAGAGGUGAAAUUCGUAGAUAUUGGGAGGAACACCAGUGGCGAAGGCGGCCAUCUGGACAGUGACUGACGCUGAGACGCGAAAGCGUGGGGAGCAAACAGG